CGGGGUGUAGCGCAGCCCGGUAGCGCACCUGCUUUGGGAGCAGGGUGUCGCAGGUUCGAAUCCUGUCACCCCGA
rnacentral:tRNA from 1 species